rnacentral:lncRNA from 1 species
AGGAAGCGGCGCCGCACAAGGUUCAGCAGCGUCUGGAAGCACACCAGCGGGACAGGCCAAUGCGUGCGGCGCCGUCUACUACACGUACUGCCCGGCUCUGCUGGACGAGUACCGGGCCUCGCGUGCGGUGUGCGUGUCCAGCGGUGCCGAUCACGUGGCCGUGUGCAACCGCGGCUCGAACCGGUUUGCCAGCCUCGAAGAGUGCUACCGGGCCUGCGGACUCCUGCAAGGGCCCACCAGGGACGCCUGCUUCGAGCAGCCACUCUUCACAGCCUGCGAGAGGCAGGACGUGACGGAAACCUGGUGGUACUUCGACGGGCACCGCUGCGUCGAGUGGGACUUCCCGCAGGGCGAGUGUCCAGUCAACGGGACCGGCAAGUUGCACGCCUCGCUCAGGGAGUGCCGCGACCAGUGCGAGGGCCGGCGCGGAGGUCGCCGCGA